rnacentral:miRNA from 1 species
AAAUAGGUUAUCGUACUCGGGAUUCGGUGAUAUCAGUUUUACCGCUCUCGGGACGAUAUCACAAUUGUCCCUCGCUCGCUGCGCUCGCUCGUGACAAUUGUGAUAUCAUCCCUUGAGCGAUAAAACUGACCUCACCUCAUCCCUUAUAUGAUAACCUAUAU